rnacentral:misc_RNA from 1 species
UCCGGUUUGUCACCGGCAGUCUGGCUAGAGUGCCCAGCUUGACCUGUUGGCAACUAACCACGAGGGUUGCGCUCGUUGCGGGACUUAACCCAACAUCUCACGACACGAGCUGACGACAGCCAUGCAGCACCUGUCACCUGGCUCCCUUGCGGGCACUCCCCUGUUUCCAGGGGAUUCCAGGGAUGUCAAGCCUUGGUAAGGUUCUUCGCGUUGCGUCGAAUUAAACCACAUCCUCCACCGCUUGUGCGGGCCCCCGUCAAUUCCUUUGAGUUUCACACUUGCGUGCGUACUCCCCAGGCGGAUCACUUAACGCGUUAGCUACGGCACUGGAGGGGUCGAUACCCCCAACACCUAGUGAUCAUCGUUUACAGCGUGGACUAC